GCUGGGACUACAGGCGCCUAAUUUUCCAUAAAAUGUAUACCACCAAAAAGAAAAAUUCUGACUGCAGGGAAGCAGUACACUCUGUAGACCCCGGAGAAAAAUAAAUCACCAUGAGAUUUGACAACAAUCAAUUUUUCACUGCACGCUAAUCAAGCAGAUAGAAAGAAGGCCAUGGAAAUGUCUGUUUGAAGUUCUGAAGUAAACUACCUUGAUGUUGACAAAGAUGAGACAAACUACCUGAUGAAAGAAAUCAUAUUCAAGAAAGAAUCUUUAGAGAGGAAGGCAGCCUAUUUAUUUACAUGAAGAUCAAAGAACCUUUGCAUGAAUUGAGACUACAUUUUUUCCGAGUGAUUUGCAAAAGAUAAUCCUCAUGGCUGAAUGAGAAAAGUGAUGCCAGUGUGAAGAAGAGACAGAGCAGAGACACGAACAACAUGUAAA
rnacentral:lncRNA from 10 species